ACUCUAGUCUAGAGAGCACAUUCUCUGCUCAGUUGCCCGGGGAAGCCACUAGCUACAGAUGCUGGAGAAUUUGGGCUGGUUUCUUCUGCAUUUUAACAAUCCCUGGGGCUUUCUUUGGUUCUUUCUUUAUUUGAGUGAGGUUGAGAUCAUCUUUCUAUCAUGUCUCUGCAUUCAGUGAUAUCCAUAUUUAUCCAUGUUUGAAAAGACACAGACAUCAAUCUGUCUGGAAAGAACGAUGUGAGGACAGGACCCCUGCUACUGUGUGUGUCUCUCAUCCUGAUGUUGACAUAUGUAAAAGAAAAAAUCUGCUCCGGACACUUGUGAAAACCAGCAAGACAGAUGUUAUUGGAACUCCUGCAUUAGGCUACGACCCUCAGUACAGAGUUGAGCUCAGCUCUGGAGGCAGCAUGGACAGUGAGUGGAGUGUUUAUGGACAAUGAGCAGAGGGUCAGCGGAUGGACAGUCACUAAGAGGAACUUGAUGAGGUAUCAAGAGCCCAAGAAGCUGAGCCUCAGAGAUGGCUGACAAAGGUCCCUCAGCUCUCGGAUACCUAGAACUCUGCAGUUUGAAACAAACCAUGGUGAGAAGUGUUCCCUAAGGCAGGGAGAAGAGGCUGGCUCCACAGAAACAAGCCCUCAGCAAGGCAUGGUUCAGGAAGUCGAUGUAGGUGGCUCCAAAGGCAAGGCUGGUGCAUUCUGAUUUUUGACAAAAGUUGGCUUUUCCUCUGCAGGAUGUGGGCAAGCUCAUCCCCAGGUGUGGAUGACUUUGGGAAGAGAGUCAGUUGACCUAUGUUUGAGGCAGGAAAAGAAAUGGAAGGAUUACAUUUAUAUCAAGUUUGCUACAAAGUAACAGAUUGUGAAAUCUCACAGCUCCAAGUGAGGUAAGCAAUGUUCACUGAUGCUCAUGAAGAGUGACAAUACAUUUAUUAUCUCAUCCGUGCAACUUUCAGAAGUGAAUGUUUGCAUAUUUAACAAUUAUCCCAGACCUCAGACAUAGCCGAGGAGUGUCUACAGCAAGCCAAGACCAAUGGCACCAUGGAUCUGGGUACUAGGUCUCCACAGCAGGCUGAGUGCAGCCUCAGGAAUCCAGGAUGCAGAAUCCAAUGGCAGAGGCCAGAUGAGGGCAAUGUACAGCACACACUGUGGGCCCACACUGACCUCUCUCUGCAGGAAUCAUCCCCACUAGACCUUGGAAGACUGAGGGGAUAACUAAAAGGAAAGUACUGAACCCAACGUACUUAAGAAAAGCUGCCUCAAAUGGUUUUGUGACUAAGGCAAGUCACACGAUCUGUUUUGGGUCUCACGUUCAUCAUCUUUAAAAUAGGAAUAAAUAAUUUCUUGCCUGUCUA